AGUAAUACAUAAGUAACCUGCCCUAGACAGGGGGAUAACUAUUGGAAACGAUAGCUAAGACCGCAUAGGUACGGACACUGCAUGGUGACCGUAUUAAAAGUGCCUCAAGGCACUGGUAGAGGAUGGACUUAUGGCGCAUUAGCUGGUUGGCGGGGUAACGGCCCACCAAGGCGGCGAUGCGUAGCCGACCUGAGAGGGUGACCGGCCACACUGGGACUGAGACACGGCCCAGACUCCUACGGGAGGCAGCAUG
rnacentral:rRNA from 1 species